rnacentral:rRNA from 1 species
AUUGAACGCUGGCGGCAGGCCUAACACAUGCAAGUCGAACGAGUGGCGGACGGGUGAGUAAUGUCUGGGAAACUGCCUGAUGGAGGGGGUUAACUACUGGACACGGUAGCUAAUACCGCAUACCAUCGGAUGUGCCCAGGUUGGAUUAGCUAGUAGGUGGGGUAAAGGCUCACCUAGGCGACGAUGCCCAGCUGGUCUGAGAGGGUGACCUGCCACACUGGAACUGAGACACGGUCCAGACUCCUACGGGAGGCAGCAGUAGGGAAUAUUGCACAAUGGGCGCAAGCCUGAUGGAGCAAUGCCGCGUGAGUGAAGAAGGCCUUCGGGUUGUAAAGUACUGUCAGCGGGGAGGCGUUACCCGAAGAGGAAGCACCGGCUAACUCCGUGCCAGCAGCCGCGGUAAUUC